rnacentral:rRNA from 1 species
UACGUAGGUGACAAGCGUUGUCCGGAUUUACUGGGCGUAAAGAGCGCGCAGGCGGUCGAUCAAGUCGAGUGUGAAAGCCCCCGGCUCAACUGGGGAGGGUCAUUCGAAACUGGUCGACUCGAAGGCAGGAGAGGGUAGUGGAAUUCCCGGUGUAGUGGUGAAAUGCGUAGAUAUCGGGAGGAACACCAGUGGCGAAGGCGACUUCCUGGCCUGUUCUUGACGCUGAGGCGCGAAAGCUAGGGGAGCAAACGGGG